GUGGGGAAUAUUGGGCAAUGGGGGCAACCCUGACCCAGCAACGCCGCGUGAGGGAAGAAGGUUUUCGGAUUGUAAACCUCUGUCCUAUGGGAAGAAGGAAGUGACGGUACCAUAGGAGGAAGCCCCGGCUAACUACGUGCCAGCAGCCGCGGUAAUACGAAGGGGGCGAGCGUUGUCCGGAAUUACUGGGCGUAAAGGGUGCGCAGGUGGCCUGACAAGUCAGAUGUGAAAUACCGAUGCUUAACGUCGGGGCUGCAUUUGAAACUAUGAGGCUGGAGCGCAGGAGAGGGAUGAAGAAUUCCUAGUGUAGCGGUGAACUGCAUAGAUAUUAGGAGGAACACCAGUGGCGAAGGCGGCUUUCUGGACUGUAACUGACACUGAGGCACGAAAGCGUGGGGAGCAAACAGGAUUAGAUACCCUUGUAGUCC
rnacentral:rRNA from 1 species